UAGCGUCUCAUAAAAGUAUCAUGGCACGGGACAAUGGUAGGUACAGGCCGUUCAUACUAACCAGAUCGACGUUUGCCGAAAGUCAGAGGUACGCAGCAAAAUGGAGUGGGGAUAACGACGGGUUGUUUGAGGAUAUGCGUUUUACUGUGCCUAUGACAAUGGCAGCGAAUUUAGCUGGAAUUGUGUUUUACGGAGCCGACGUUCAGAUAUGGGGCUACAGAGGAACUGACCAUCAGAUGGUAUCAGCUCGGAAGUUGGAUUCCGUUCUACAGAGCACACGCGUGGUCGGGCCCAAGACGAGAGCCUUACACCUUUAGUCCUGAUGUUCAAGACCUCCUUCGGGAAGCUAUAGGAUAUAUAGGCCUUAUUGGUACACUGUUUUCUACGAACACACCUUACGUGGUGACCCCCUCAUCAGACCAUUGCUCUACGAUUAUUCGCAAGACGAUCAAACGUACGAUAUUAAUGAUCAAUUUUUCCUUCGCACUGAUAUUAUGGUUGCGUCAGUUUAUGAAUCAAAUCUAACAUCAGUCCGAGUAUACUUUCCUGGAGGCAAGCAGCAGAAAUAGUAUCAAGUACUUGAUAGUCAAAAUAUCAGCAGGGUUUUUCAAGGCGCGGAAUGGGGCGAUAUUCCAGUGGAUAUAAGUUUUAUUCCUAUAUUCUAUAGAGGCGGUAGUAUAAUACCCAGAAAAGAGAGAGUUGGGAGAUCCACAACGGAUAUGCGCAAUGAAAGUAUUACUCUGCAUGUGAUUCCAGACGAAAACAAUAUUGCUGAAGGCAAGUACAUAAUGAUUUUUUUUGUUCUAGUAUAAUAGAUGACUCUGAUUGGGACGAUAUUGAAUUUUCGUUUGCCAAGAUUAUUGUGUAUAAUCCAAACGAUAACGGAACGUACAAUAUCCAAGAAUUUUCCCUCGACCCAGAAAGAAAUCCGUUUUCUAUACAAGACAUUGUUAAAACGUUGGCUUGGCAAAAAAGC